ACACCAUACCAUUUGCUUUCUUUCCCCACAGGCAGACUUUUAACUGGAAUAUUUGAAACCCCAUCAUUCUCUAAGAUGAAGAACUAGCUGUGUAAAACCAGUUUGAGACCACAGCAGCCAAGGAGCUCCAAGACACUACUGGAUGCCAUCGAGGGAUUUUGAGAAACUGCUUUAGCAUCAGAGACCAAUCAGCUUUGUUCCAGCUCAUACCAUGACUUUGCCUCAGUAGAUGAAGACACUGAAGCAUAAGAGUAUAAGCUAGGAAAUGUCAUGGCCUGCAUUCAAAGAGAGUUCUCCUGACUUUAGAGUUGGUGCUUUUUUAAGCGUCUCACCCUUCUUUGUACACAUGACAACAUCGCAGCCACCUGCAUGCGUACAGCCUUUCAUCCAUGAAUCACGACGUGGGAGAUUUUGCGGUGAAUCUGUCUUAAAAAUGAUGGAUGCUGUACAUCAGUGCACAUUUCCUAUUUUAGUUGACAGCAUCACCUUGUGGAUGAAAAUACAUCUGGUGUGUGUUUUUAUUUGUAAAUAUAUGUAUACUCUGUCGAUUAGGGAUAAUGAGCCAAGCUAUUAUGCUGUCAAUCAGAAGUGUUUUGGGGUUGAACUUCUUUACCAGAAUUUAUUUUUUAGUAAUCAACUAAUAAAGAAAGGUCAAAUAAUAAUAGUUAACUGAUGAGAGAACAGAAUGGAAGCCGUUGUGCUUCUGGCCACUUUGGUUAAAACUUACUGCCGUUUUGCUAGCUUAAUUAACAUUUUGUUUGAAAAGUGGGGAUUAGAAUUAUAGUAUUUGUAGCUUUGUGGUGAGAAUUAAAAGGGCAAAAUAAAAUAACAGCAGCUUAGCAGAAUCUCAUUGUUUAAAACAAAAGAAUGAUAGGGUCUCAAGUCCAAAAGUCUUGAAGUUCUGCAUUUCAACUCUAUGUGAUUUUAAAACUCUCUUAACCUUUAAAACUCUCUUUAUCUCUAACAUAGAGAAAACAAUGCCAAGCUUGUGGAAUGGUCAUCAAAUACUGGGUAAGAUUAUAAGAGACAGAGCCCCCGUGCAUUGAAAGACAGGGGGUGAAAACUCCAGGACAUCCAUCCAGUGUGGACAGAGUCCUCACCACUUAAGCAAAAAUAUAGAUACAUUUUAGCAGGCAUCUUAGCUGGUUUGGGUUCUUUUCCUGCUGCAGUUUUUGGUAGACAAACAGGCUUAUAGAAAACAUUUUUAUUAUCCACAGUGAGAAAUGACAAAUACCCUAUUUUUCCCUAAAAGGUUUUACAAAUGAGAACAAAACUAACAUCCCAACUUCUCAGUAGCAAAGUGGGGGCAGUUUAUUCCAAUGAAUAGAUUAUUAACAAUUAUAAUAGAUUAUAAUUAAUUCCAAAUUUAAUAAUUUGGCAAUUUAUUACUAACUUCAAUGCUUAUUUGAUAGAGGAUUUGGCAAUCUGAAUUCCACGUGCUGUCCUGAUUAAAUGUUUCCUGCACAAGUUUCCUUGGAACAAAGUUUUGCUUUUGUUUUUUGUUUUUUUUUUUAAUUACCCUUGUCUUGUAAGAGAAAGCCUUUUGGGGCAAUCCAUGCACAGUGGGAAUGGAGUGUAAGUAAUGGCUCAUGGUCAUAGAGUGAAAAGAGCCGGCCUCCUUAGCUGUACCACACUAGCGUCUCUACAGACUGCCAGCCUCCAUACCUAUGCCAGCCUCCAUCCCUGCAUCACCGCGUCCCCUCAUCCCCUCCUGUAUCCCCCAUCCGCCCACAGCCCAGCCCUCAGAGCUGGGGGUCUUCAGGGCAAAUUUUCAGUUUGAAUUUCCCGGCUUUUGUCAGUUUCUGUCAGAGCCCUAGCCACCUUCUCCCACUGCCUGCGGUGGCUUUGUUUUCCCUUCUCCUGCAUUUGCUCCUCGUUAGCCUGCGUCCCGUGUCGGCGCGUUUACCGUCGCUGACAGAUGGUCGGGGGGCUGGG